GGCAUCUGUGGGGCAGGUCUCUUGAUCUGCAGCUGGCAGAUGGCAUUAGGGGUGCAGUAACCCCCAACUUGUGCAUCUUCCUGGGGAGAGGCUCCGAGGCUUUGAGCAGAUUCUCAAAGGGGUUACUGACCCUCCAGAGGGCAAAGAAGGACGGCCCUGGAGGAGGGCUGAGGACUCUGGGGUUCGGGAGGCGCUGGGGUAGGACAGGACUGCCAGCGGCCCCCUUCUUCAUGGUCCCUAUACAGACCUGUCCACCUUGGAGACCAGGUUUCCCUGGCUGCUCUGCUUUUGGUUGACUGAGGGGAAGAAUGGAUUUUAGGAUUCUCUGUCUAGAAGUUGGGGGGUACAGAAUGCUGCCCUCGACCCCUCAACUUGCUGGUAUUCAGCCUUGGGAACACCUCUUCCUGGUCUGGGCCUCAGUUUCCCUGUUCCUGUAAGGGGGGAAGACUCUCACUGCUUCUAACCAGUGCACAGCGACUGUGGCAGGGACCGCGGAGGACAGGGGCUGUGUGGGGCAGGUCCACUCACCGUCCACGGGGGUGCAGGGCUCGUAGACCACCCUGUAGCCCUCCAGGACACCGUUGGGGAGCUGCGGGGCUUCCCAGGACACGUUCACUGAGGUCGUGGUCAGCUCGCUGAACUUGACUGAGCUGGGCGCGCUGGGGGCUGGGGAGACAGCACAGGGCUUUGUUUUCUCCUUCUGCGGACGGACGUUCAAAGUGUUGGGUUUGGCUCCAAGAAACUAGCGGGAGUGCUUGGGCCCGGGCCCGGGAAGAACAAGAAUGCCCGGCUUAGAGCAAGGCUGCAGGAGGGGUCACCAGAGGCCACUGGACCCCUUCCCCGCCUCCCUCCGUGUUAGCACUCGAAUUUCCCAGAUUGAAGACCCUGGAACAGGAAGAAAAGGGAGCUGCAUUUCCCCCUCAGGUUGGAGAAUUUGGACUUGUCCCUGAGGAGCGGCUGUGAGCCUGGCUAGCAGCCCGGGGCCAGCCAUCGCACGUCCAGGGUCACCGUGGGGCAAGGCGACUUCCUGGCUUUGAGGGGUGCAGCUUUCGACUUUCCUGAUCCUGGAGGAAUCUGCCAGCUGUCAGGCAGGAAGCUGAGCCAAGAGGUGAGCGCCAGCAGAGCCCCCCACCCCGGCUGAAGGGGUGGCUGGGAGAGGGUGAGCCCCAGCCACUGGCCCCCAGACCUGCUGCAGGUUACCGAGGACUCCAGGGAGCACGGGCCACACUGGUGUGCAAAGCCUGCUACAGAGGAAGGCCGGCUAAGAAGGCAGUGGCCUGGGCACGCUGUUUACUAGCAGUGACCUGGCCAGGUGACUUCUCUGAGCUGCAGUUUUGUCAUGUAUACAGCUCCCGGUUGUCACGGGAGGUGAAGGUCAUGAGAACAGCAGGGGCGGAUACUCCUGGUUACCCAGUCUGGCAGAUUCUUCGACUAGUUUAGAACUUUGAACCAAGGGCACCUCUUGGAGGAUUCGAGAUCAUUUGGCGCCCCCUGCUGGCCGGAGGGGUUUCCGCACGCUUUCCAUGUCCGGCUUUUCCAGGUCUCAGUUUACCUGGAGGAAGCCCAUGAAGCAACGGGGACGCAGGGCUCCUGUGUUGAGGGGAAAGGUCUGCCCGUAGGUGGGAUUUGGAAAUGCACACCAGAAGAAUCGACAGACUCCCGUAGAUAGAGGGCCUUGGCACUCAGCGUUGGGAGGAGAGUUGGAACAGCAAAGGAGAGUGAGCGGGAGCCUCUGGCCAGAGAAGCCAGAGAAGCCAGCCGCCCUGGAGGAGGGAGGGACGGCCCAUCCAGCAGCUGCCAAGUCAGGACGAGACCCGAGAUCUGAGCACGGUGACCAGGGGUGAACGCUUCCUUGGUGAUGGAUUGAGAACCUACUCAGAGGAGGUUCAAGAGAGAAUGUGCCAGGCACCGUGGUGCACGCCUGUGAUCCCAGCAGCUCGGGAGGCUGGGGCAGGAGGAUUGCAAGUUCAAAGCCAGCCUCAGCAACUUAGUGAGGCCCUCUCUCAAAAUAAAAAGGGCUGGGGAUGUGGCUUAGUGAUUAAGUGUCCCUGAGUUCAAUCCACAGUUAGAGAGAGAGAGAGAGAGAGAGAGAGAGAGAGAGAGAGAGAGAGAGAACACAAGAGGAGAAGAGUUGGAUGCAGAAGAAAUUCCAGGAGAUUAUUUAAGUUUUUUUUCCUUUUUUUAGAAAAAUUGUUUUUUCAGUUGUAGUUGGACACAAGACCUUUAUUUUAUUUUUAUGUGGUGCUGAGGAUUGAACCCAGCACCCUGCACUGCUAGGCGAGUGCUGAACUGCUGAGCCACAACCCCAGCCCCUCCAGGAGAUUCUUUUUGAAGAAUAUGCUGCCAAGGGACCAGCCAAAGAAUGGGGAUGACUGGAAGAAAAUGUGAGGUCAGAAAAAGGCAUCAGGAGGGAAAUAAGCUGGGGACAGUGACGCGCACCUGUGAUCCCAGCUACUCAGGAGGCUGAGGCAGGAGGAUCACAACUUUGAGGCCAGCCUCAGCAACUUAGUGAGAUCCUGUCUCAACAUAAAGAGGAAAGAGGACUGGGAGUGUAGCUCAGUGGUAGAGCACCUGUCUAGCACACCUGAGACCCUGGGUUCAACUGCUGGUCUCACACACACACACACACACACACACACACACAUCUCAGAAUGUGUUUGUGCCCUGUCAACAACAGCUUGGAGAAAGGACA